rnacentral:rRNA from 1 species
AGAUUGAACGCUAGCGGGAUGCUUUACACAUGCAAGUCGAACGGCAGCGCGGACUUCGGUCUGGCGGCGAGUGGCGAACGGGUGAGUAAUAUAUCGGAACGUGCCCAGUAGCGGGGGAUAACUACGCGAAAGCGUGGCUAAUACCGCAUACGCCCUACGGGGGAAAGGGGGGGAUUCUUCGGAACCUCUCACUAUUGGAGCGGCCGAUAUCAGAUUAGCUAGUUGGUGAGGUAAAGGCUCACCAAGGCGACGAUCUGUAGCUGGUUUGAGAGGACGACCAGCCACACUGGGACUGAGACACGGCCCAGACUCCUACGGGAGCAGCAGUGGGAAUUUGGACAAGUGGGGGAAACCCUGACUCCAGCCAUCCCGCGUGUGCGAUGAAGGCCUUGGGUUGUAAGCACUUUGGCAGGGAAGAACCGGCGACCGCCGUAAGUACGGG